AUGAUGUGUAUGUGUGUAUGUGCAUGUACAUGCUGCAUAUGUAUGUAUAUAUGGUGCAU
rnacentral:pre_miRNA from 1 species